CUGGCUUUGACAAUUAAUCUCUCUAAGCACUUUAACUUCUUUUUUUUUAUUGCUUUUCUCUGUGGCUCAUUAUUUUCUCUAACACGCAUCAAAUUGUUGCAUUUUUUUUCAUUUUUUCAGAAUAAAAACCUGGCAGUGGCCUUUCAAGAACUGUAAAUAUUGACGCUCUCUCGUUUCCUUCCCUUACCCGUUGACUUAUAUGAUAGCUCAUACCAAAGUCUGUGUGCAAAUAUUCAUUCUGGCAUCAAAGAAUUUUUAAAGUUGGUGACAAAGGAACUUGCAAGGAUCCCAUCAACUAAAGAAAAACCCUAAAAUAUGUUUUCUGUAGCAAUGGGGCUGCAGCAUGAUAUAUAGAGCAAGAGGCAAUAGUUCUGCUUCAGAGCAGCUGAAAAGUGAUUUAUUUUCAUCAGAAAGACACUUCCAACAUCUAGACAGCAAACUGAAGUUUGUGGUUGGAGCACUACAGUCUGAA